UUAAGCGACUAAGCGUACACGGUGGAUGCCCUGGCAGUCAGAGGCGAUGAAGGACGUGCUAAUCUGCGAUAAGCGUCGGUAAGGUGAUAUGAACCGUUAUAACCGGCGAUUUCCGAAUGGGGAAACCCAGUGUGUUUCGACACACUAUCAUUAACUGAAUCCAUAGGUUAAUGAGGCGAACCGGGGGAACUGAAACAUCUAAGUACCCCGAGGAAAAGAAAUCAACCGAGAUUCCCCCAGUAGCGGCGAGCGAACGGGGAGCAGCCCAGAGCCUGAAUCAGUGUGUGUGUUAGUGGAAGCGUCUGGAAAGGCGCGCGAUACAGGGUGACAGCCCCGUACACAAAAAUACACAUACUGUGAGCUCGAUGAGUAGGGCGGGACACGUGGUAUCCUGUCUGAAUAUGGGGGGACCAUCCUCCAAGGCUAAAUACUCCUGACUGACCGAUAGUGAACCAGUACCGUGAGGGAAAGGCGAAAAGAACCCCGGCGAGGGGAGUGAAAAAGAACCUGAAACCGUGUACGUACAAGCAGUGGGAGCACGCUUAGGCGUGUGACUGCGUACCUUUUGUAUAAUGGGUCAGCGACUUAUAUUCUGUAGCAAGGUUAACCGAAUAGGGGAGCCGAAGGGAAACCGAGUCUUAACUGGGCGUUAAGUUGCAGGGUAUAGACCCGAAACCCGGUGAUCUAGCCAUGGGCAGGUUGAAGGUUGGGUAACACUAACUGGAGGACCGAACCGACUAAUGUUGAAAAAUUAGCGGAUGACUUGUGGCUGGGGGUGAAAGGCCAAUCAAACCGGGAGAUAGCUGGUUCUCCCCGAAAGCUAUUUAGGUAGCGCCUCGUGAAUUCAUCUCCGGGGGUAGAGCACUGUUUCGGCAAGGGGGUCAUCCCGACUUACCAACCCGAUGCAAACUGCGAAUACCGGAGAAUGUUAUCACGGGAGACACACGGCGGGUGCUAACGUCCGUCGUGAAGAGGGAAACAACCCAGACCGCCAGCUAAGGUCCCAAAGUCAUGGUUAAGUGGGAAACGAUGUGGGAAGGCCCAGACAGCCAGGAUGUUGGCUUAGAAGCAGCCAUCAUUUAAAGAAAGCGUAAUAGCUCACUGGUCGAGUCGGCCUGCGCGGAAGAUGUAACGGGGCUAAACCAUGCACCGAAGCUGCGGCAGCGACGCUUAUGCGUUGUUGGGUAGGGGAGCGUUCUGUAAGCCUGCGAAGGUGUGCUGUGAGGCAUGCUGGAGGUAUCAGAAGUGCGAAUGCUGACAUAAGUAACGAUAAAGCGGGUGAAAAGCCCGCUCGCCGGAAGACCAAGGGUUCCUGUCCAACGUUAAUCGGGGCAGGGUGAGUCGACCCCUAAGGCGAGGCCGAAAGGCGUAGUCGAUGGGAAACAGGUUAAUAUUCCUGUACUUGGUGUUACUGCGAAGGGGGGGACGGAGAAGGCUAUGUUGGCCGGGCGACGGUUGUCCCGGUUUAAGCGUGUAGGCUGGUUUUCCAGGCAAAUCCGGAAAAUCAAGGCUGAGGCGUGAUGACGAGGCACUACGGUGCUGAAGCAACAAAUGCCCUGCUUCCAGGAAAAGCCUCUAAGCAUCAGGUAACAUCAAAUCGUACCCCAAACCGACACAGGUGGUCAGGUAGAGAAUACCAAGGCGCUUGAGAGAACUCGGGUGAAGGAACUAGGCAAAAUGGUGCCGUAACUUCGGGAGAAGGCACGCUGAUAUGUAGGUGAAGUCCCUCGCGGAUGGAGCUGAAAUCAGUCGAAGAUACCAGCUGGCUGCAACUGUUUAUUAAAAACACAGCACUGUGCAAACACGAAAGUGGACGUAUACGGUGUGACGCCUGCCCGGUGCCGGAAGGUUAAUUGAUGGGGUUAGCGCAAGCGAAGCUCUUGAUCGAAGCCCCGGUAAACGGCGGCCGUAACUAUAACGGUCCUAAGGUAGCGAAAUUCCUUGUCGGGUAAGUUCCGACCUGCACGAAUGGCGUAAUGAUGGCCAGGCUGUCUCCACCCGAGACUCAGUGAAAUUGAACUCGCUGUGAAGAUGCAGUGUACCCGCGGCAAGACGGAAAGACCCCGUGAACCUUUACUAUAGCUUGACACUGAACAUUGAGCCUUGAUGUGUAGGAUAGGUGGGAGGCUUUGAAGUGUGGACGCCAGUCUGCAUGGAGCCGACCUUGAAAUACCACCCUUUAAUGUUUGAUGUUCUAACGUUGACCCGUAAUCCGGGUUGCGGACAGUGUCUGGUGGGUAGUUUGACUGGGGCGGUCUCCUCCUAAAGAGUAACGGAGGAGCACGAAGGUUGGCUAAUCCCCGGUCGGACAUCAGGAGGUUAGUGCAAUGGCAUAAGCCAGCUUGACUGCGAGCGUGACGGCGCGAGCAGGUGCGAAAGCAGGUCAUAGUGAUCCGGUGGUUCUGAAUGGAAGGGCCAUCGCUCAACGGAUAAAAGGUACUCCGGGGAUAACAGGCUGAUACCGCCCAAGAGUUCAUAUCGACGGCGGUGUUUGGCACCUCGAUGUCGGCUCAUCACAUCCUGGGGCUGAAGUAGGUCCCAAGGGUAUGGCUGUUCGCCAUUUAAAGUGGUACGCGAGCUGGGUUUAGAACGUCGUGAGACAGUUCGGUCCCUAUCUGCCGUGGGCGCUGGAGAACUGAGGGGGGCUGCUCCUAGUACGAGAGGACCGGAGUGGACGCAUCACUGGUGUUCGGGUUGUCAUGCCAAUGGCACUGCCCGGUAGCUAAAUGCGGAAGAGAUAAGUGCUGAAAGCAUCUAAGCACGAAACUUGCCCCGAGAUGAGUUCUCCCUGACUCCUUGAGAGUCCUGAAGGAACGUUGAAGACGACGACGUUGAUAGGCCGGGUGUGUAAGCGCAGCGAUGCGUUGAGCUAACCGGUACUAAUGAACCGUGAGGCUUAACCU
rnacentral:rRNA from 1 species